GAUGAACGCUGGCGGCGUGCCUAAUACAUGCAAGUCGAGCGAACGGACGAGAAGCUUGCUUCUCUGAUGUUAGCGGCGGACGGGUGAGUAACACGUGGAUAACCUACCUAUAGGACUGGGAUAACUUCGGGAAACCGGAGCUAAUACCGGAUAAUAUUUUGAACCGCAUGGUUCAAAAGUGAAAGACGGUCUUGCUGUCACUUAUAGAUGGAUCCGCGCUGCAUUAGCUAGUUGGUAAGGUAACGGCUUACCAAGGCAACGAUGCAUAGCCGACCUGAGAGGGUGAUCGGCCACACUGGAACUGAGACACGGUCCAGACUCCUACGGGAGGCAGCAGUAGGGAAUCUUCCGCAAUGGGCGAAAGCCUGACGGAGCAACGCCACGUGAGUGAUGAAGGUCUUCGGAUCGUAAAACUCUGUUAUUAGGGAAGAACAUAUGUGUAAGUAACUGUGCACAUCUUGACGGUACCUAAUCAGAAAGCCACGGCUAACUACGUG
rnacentral:rRNA from 1 species